rnacentral:rRNA from 1 species
UACGGAGGGUGCGAGCGUUGUCCGGAAUUAUUGGGCGUAAAGAGCUCGUAGGCGGUUUGUCACGUCUGCUGUGAAAUCCCGAGGCUCAACCUCGGGCCUGCAGUGGGUACGGGCAGGCUGGAGUGCGGUAGGGGAGACUGGAAUUCCUGGUGUAGCGGUGAAAUGCGCAGAUAUCAGGAGGAACACCGGUGGCGAAGGCGGGUCUCUGGGCCGAUACUGACGCUGAGGAGCGAAAGCAUGGGUAGCGAACAGG